UACGUAGGGCGCAAGCGUUGUCCGGAAUUUAUUGGGCGUAAAGAGCUCGUAGGCGGCCAGUUGCGUUCCGCUGUGAAAUCCCGGGGCUUAACCCCGGGCGUGCAGUGGAUACGGGCUGGCUAGAGGCAGGCAGGGGAGAACGGAAUUCCCGGUGUAGAGGUGAAAUUCGUAGAUAUCGGGAGGAACACCAGUGGCGAAGGCGGAGACCUGGGCCAAUACUGACGUGAGGUGCGAA
rnacentral:rRNA from 1 species